UACGUAGGGGGCAAGCGUUGGUUCGGAAUUACUGGGCGUAAAGCGCGUGUAGGCGGCUAAGUAAGUCGGGCGUGAAAUCCCACGGCUCAACCGUGGAAGUGCACUCGAAACUGCAUAGCUAGAGUCCUGGAGAGGAAGGUGGAAUGCUUGGUGUAGAGGUGAAAUUCGUAGAUAUCAAGCGGAACACCGGUGGCGAAGGCGGCCUUCCGGACAGUGACUGACGCUGAGACGCGAAAGCGUGGGGAGCAACAGG
rnacentral:rRNA from 1 species